rnacentral:rRNA from 1 species
GAUCCUGGCUCAGGAUGAACGCUAGCUACAGGCUUAACACAUGCAAGUCGAGGGGCAGCAUGGUCUUAGCUUGCUAAGGCCGAUGGCGACCGGCGCACGGGUGAGUAACGCGUAUCCAACCUGCCUUACACUCUUGGACAGCCUUCUGAAAGGGAGAUUAAUACAAGAUGUUAUCAUGAGUAAGCAUUUUCACAUGUAUUAAAGGUUUACCGGUGUAAGAGUGGGAUGCGUUCCUA